rnacentral:rRNA from 1 species
CAAACUUGAGAGUUUGAUCCUGGCUCAGAACGAACGCUGGCGGCAUGCCUAACACAUGCAAGUCGAACGAGACCUUCGGGUCUAGUGGCGCACGGGUGCGUAACGCGUGGGAAUCUGCC